UGGUUUACUAGAUCGUACCAAUCCUACUUGGAUAACUGUGGUAAUUCUAGAGCUAAUACAUGCUUCAAUAUUUCCGACCUUAACGGGGAGGAAGGCUUUUAUUAGACCAGAACCUAUUCGGUGCCGCGGGUUCGCGCUCGCGAGUGCCGGUUUCUUGGUGACUCUGAAUAACUUUGGGCUGAUCGCACGGUCUUUGCACCGGCGACGGGUCUUUCAAAUGUCUGACUUAUCAACUGUCGAUGGUAGGUUAUGCGCCUACCAUGGUUGUCACGGGUAACGGGGAAUCAGGGUUCGAUUCCGGAGAGGGAGCCUGAGAAACGGCUACCACAUCCAAGGAAGGCAGCAGGCGCGCAAAUUACCCACUCCCGGCACGGGGAGGUAGUGACGAAAAAUAACAAUACGGGACUCAUCCGAGGCCCCGUAAUUGGAAUGAGUACACUUUAAAUCCUUUAACGAGGAUCCAUUGGAGGGCAAGUCUGGUGCCAGCAGCCGCGGUAAUUCCAGCUCCAAUAGCGUAUAUUAAAGUUGCUGCGGUUAAAAAGCUCGUAGUUGGAUCCCAGUUGCAGACGGGCGGUCCGCCUCAUGGCGGUUCACUGCCCCGUUCUCGACAUACCUCCGGUUAUAUUUGUCCCGCGAUGCUCUUUACCGGGUGUCGCGGGGGGCCGGUACGUUUACUUUGAAAAAAUUAGAGUGCUCAAAGCAGGCGAUGGCCAGAAUAAUGGUGCAUGGAAUAAUGGAAUAGGACCUCGGUUCUAUCUUGUUGGUUCUUCGGAACACGAGGUAAUGAUUAAUAGGGACGGACGGGGGCAUUCGUAUUGCGACGUUAGAGGUGAAAUUCUUGGAUCGUCGCAAGACGAACUACUGCGAAAGCAUUUGCCAAGAAUGUUUUCGUUAAUCAGGAACGAAAGUUAGAGGUUCGAAGGCGAUCAGAUACCGCCCUAGUUCUAACCAUAAACGAUGCCAACCAGCGAUCCGUCGGCGUUACUUCGAAUGACCCGACAAGCAGCUUCCGGGAAACCAAAGUUUCUGGGUUCCGGGGGAAGUAUGGUUGCAAAGCCGAAACUUAAAGGAAUUGACGGAAGGGCACCACCAGGAGUGGAGCCUGCGGCUUAAUUUGACUCAACACGGGAAACCUCACCAGGCCCGGACACUUGGAGGAUUGACAGAUUGAGAGCUCUUUCUUGAUUCAGUGGGUGGUGGUGCAUGGCCGUUCUUAGUUGGUGGAGCGAUUUGUCUGGUUAAUUCCGAUAACGAACGAGACCCUUUCCUGCUAAAUAGGCAGAAGAUCCUCAUGUAGUGUCUGACGUUCUUCUUAGA
rnacentral:rRNA from 1 species